UCGCUUGUAAACUAUUAAGUUGCCCAGACACUCGCUUGUAAACUAUUAAGUUGCCCAGACACUCGCUUGUAAACUAUUAAGUUGCCCAGACACUCGCUUGUAAACUAUUAAGUUGCCCAGACACUCACUUGUAAACUAUUAUUUAGUUAUGCGUAUCUUUUUCUUUUAUAGGAAGUGUUUAUCAAAUACACAUACAAAGGAGUGAGUGUACCUUAAUUAAUUGAAUGGUCAAGGAUAAAGAAACUGGUUUAUCUAGUAUGUGAUAGCCACUACAUGAUUUCAUAUAUACAAAGAAAUGGAGUUAUUUAGUUAUAUAUAUAUAACAAAAAAUAGAUUGUGUUUUGAGAAAUGAAACUGAUUUCAGAAAGGUGUAAAUAUGUACUCCUUAUUGUGUCUUCGUUGAUGUUCCUGUUAAUCAUAUUCAUUAGCAAAGUUUUCUUUUCUAUAUUUAUAUUAAUUUAAAAGUAAUAAUUUAAUAUGGCAACUUACAUUCAGUUUCUUUCAAUGAAAAGGUUUUACAAUGAGAUAUAACUUACAUCAUGUUACAAAUAUAGCUAUGGAAAGGUUUUACAAUGAGAUAUCAUAACUUACAUCAUGUUACAAAUAUAGCAAACGGUGUAUGUGUAACACUUAAAUAUCUGUUGGUCACAAAUAGUUAGUAUCGUAUAACUUUUUAAAUAUCAUUACAGUCAUCUUUGAAAUGUUUUAUAGCGUUCUCUUUUUGUACAGUAUGACCUACUUCACCUUCUUUACUCAAUAUGCAGUUAGUUCUUUGUUUCAAGUUUCCGAUAUCCUGUUAAACUGGAAUAUUGAGACUUGAAACCAGUCCUGAAAACGUUAUAUACUGAGUUCAAACUAGUGUUGAUAAGUUAAUGAUAACGUUUUUUAUUGUUUAUUAAGAAGAAGAAACGAUACUGUUAUUUAUACUACUAGAAUAUAUAUUUUUACAAAGUAAGUUUCAUCUUUAAAUGUUGGAAAGAUAAGUUUGUAAAAUAUUUGUGUAUAGUGUUUGACAACUUGGAGAAUGAAGUUGAGGCCUGUAUUUUUGAACUGUACAGUUACAUGUUGGCUUUCCUGUGGUUGCAGCCGAAUAUUUAAUUGGUGUUGGUUGUAAUAUUCAGGUGUGAUUUAUAUUUAAAAUGUGAUAGUUGUACAGUAAUUUGAUGUCUGGGUUUUUUAUGUAAGUGAAAUCUUGGUAAAAAACAACAAGUGUGAUUUAAUAUUUAUUAAAAUUAGUGAGAAAAAGAGUUCUUUGUUUAGUCAGUUAGGGCUUGUAUGGACGUGCAAAGUCUUUAAAACAAAGUAUCAGAAACUUCCCACAGUGUGUAUUAGGAAAUUAUUGGUUGAAAAAACAAGUUUCAUAAAGUUGAGCAGUUGUCUGUUUUAGAAACGUGUUCACAGUUCAGCUAUUGAAAACAACGUUGUUAACACUUUAUACACCAAAAUGUGACAAUGGGAAGGUCUUCUGUACAAUUAUGUCAUUGUGUAUCUAAACAUUUGUUCCUGAAACAUUAAAAGGCCUAGUACUGUCUUUCACGGUUUUCAUUGUAGAUCUAAUUGGUCUAAACGUUAUACAUUUUCAUGAUGUGGCUUCCGAGUUCUAUAAGUUUUAAAAAAAAUAACAUUGGUCAUUUUUCAUGUAUUUAAGAAAGUUCAAGAAAAUUUUUCUUGAGCCACUACACUGUCAUUUACUACUGUGAUUUACUAUUAGCACGGGAAGGGAACAGUUAUCUAAAAUUGCUGUCUUAUUUAUCAGCUAUUACUUAUGUAAGGCACUUGUUUUUCUUCAUCAUAACAAACUGAAGUAUUAACAGGUUAUCACGUACUUUUUGAUCAAGAACUUCAAAAACUGUUAUUACAAAGAUAUUACUGACAAAUGACUCGUAAACCUAAGUUGUAGUAAAGAAUGUAUAGACCUUUCUCUGGAAUUAAGUUAUUUUUUUUAAUAAAGUGUACAAUAUUUUAA
rnacentral:lncRNA from 1 species